CCAGACAGCCAGGAUGUUGGCUUAGAAGCAGCCAUCAUUUAAAGAAAGCGUAAUAGCUCACUGGUCGAGUCGGCCUGCGCGGAAGAUGUAACGGGGCUAAACCAUGCACCGAAGCUGCGGCAGCGACGCUUAUGCGUUGUUGGGUAGGGGAGCGUUCUGUAAGCCUGUGAAGGUGGCCUGUGAGGGUUGCUGGAGGUAUCAGAAGUGCGAAUGCUGACAUAAGUAACGAUAAAGCGGGUGAAAAGCCCGCUCGCCGGAAGACCAA
rnacentral:rRNA from 2 species